rnacentral:rRNA from 1 species
UGUGCAAAAAAAGGUCCGCAUCAGUAAUGUGGCAGCAGCCCACGGUAAUACGUUGGGUGCUAUGCGUUAUCUGGAAUUAUGGGUCGUAAGAGCUCGUAGGCGGUUUGUUCGCGUCUGCUGUGAAAUCCCGAGGCUCAACCUCGGGCCUGCAGUGGGUACGGGCAGGAUAGAGUGCGGUAGGGGAGAUUGGAAUUCCUGGUGUAGCGGUGGAAUGCGCAGAUAUCAGGAGGAACACCGAUGGCGAAGGCAGAUCUCUGGGCCGUAACUGACGCUGAGGAGCGAAAGGGUGGGGAGCAAACAGGCUUAGAUACCCUGGUAGUCCACCCCGUAAACGUUGGGAACUAGUUGUGGGGUCCUUUCCACGGAUUCCGUGACGCAGCUAACGCAUUAAGUUCCCCGCCUGGGGAGUACGGCCGCAAGGCUAAAACUCAAAGGAAUUGACGGGGACCCGCACAAGCGGCGGAGCAUGCGGAUUAAUUCGAUGCAACGCGAAGAACCUUACCAAGGCUUGACAUACACGAGAACACCCUAGAAAUAGGGGACUCUUUGGACACUCGUGAACAGGUGGUGCAUGGUUGUCGUCAGCUCGUGUCGUGAGAUGUUGGGUUAAGUCCCGCAACGAGCGCAACCCUCGUUCUAUGUUGCCAGCACGUAAUGGUGGGAACUCAUGGGAUACUGCCGGGGUCAACUCGGAGGAAGGUGGGGAUGACGUCAAAUCAUCAUGCCCCUUAUGUCUUGGGCUUCACGCAUGCUACAAUGGCCGGUACAAAGGGCUGCAAUACCGUGAGGUGGAGCGAAUCCCAAAAAGCCGGUCCCAGUUCGGAUUGAGGUCUGCAACUCGACCUCAUGAAGUCGGAGUCGCUAGUAAUCGCAGAUCAGCAACGCUGCGGUGAAUACGUUCCCGGGUCUUGUACACACCGCCCGUCAAGUCAUGAAAGUCGGUAACACCUGAAGCCGGUGGCCCAACCCUUGUGGGGGGAGCCGUCGAAGGUGGGAUCGGUAAUUAGGACUAAGUCGAAUCAAUGACCAUGAAGCCACCCCCC